GUACAUUAAUUAAGGCAGUUGAUCAACUUGUAUAUUUUGGAAUUAAAUCAUUCCAUUAAAAAGUUUUACGCGCACAGAAUGUUUUCUGAGCAUUGGACAGCAGAAAGGUUGUUGACCGUGCAUGCACAUGGUGCACCUGAUUGCUGGGCAUCUGGACAAAAGGCUGACUGGACAGAACUCUUCAUCAGGUGUCUAUUAUUCAUCUUAUAAGGGUAGCAUCUUACAAGAGGGGGUCUAUGGCAUACAGUUGUAAUCUCAUAUUGCUGUAUUAGAAAAUGAAUGAUUGAAUUUAUUUUUGUUAUCACCCUAUGUCCAGUCAGUAUUUUAUGCUCCUCGUUGCUGAAUAUCUGCACUUGAUUUAUCCUGAUUUUUAUCAUUUAAAUUUAGUUAUUUUUUCCUCUGCAAUAAUCUUUUAUGUUUUGGGAUAUUUUUCUAUUUGUUUUUCUCUUCAGUUUUUUUUUUGUAAAAAAAAAUGUAUUUGAUAUGAGUGGAGGUACUGUGUGUGAGCCAAACUUGUCAGUCUACUCGUAAGUCAACAGUUUUAAGCAUUAGCAUGGACUCAAUUUUAGGAAAACAGUUGUCCCCAAUUUGAAUUGGACCAACUGUUUCAGUAGCAUAUAGACUGAUUAUUAAAUGUUAUCAUACAAAAUUGGAUGUUUUGUAUUUAAUAAACUCCUACAAUUAA